GGCCUGGACCAUUUUGCAGUCCAAAGGGAGGGGGGGAGAACUAAUCCCUGUCAGAGAGAGACUCUGGACCCUGACAACCACACCAUCCCAGAGAACAGUGAAGGUGAGUGUAAGUGGUCUGUCUGUGGUCUGGGGUGGUCUGUAGCUGAAGUGUAAUUGUAAAAGACUCAUAAAGACUCUUACUCUCUCAUUCCCCUUUCCUUUCUUCCUCCCUCUCUUUUAUUUUCCAUUUCACUCUCUCCACCUCCCUCUUCCCAGUUCCUUCAACUGAGGCUGGCCCGACCAAGUGUGAGAGGUGUCUCCAACUUUUGCAGAGGGAGAAUGGCAGUCUGCUGGACAGACUGAGAGCUAGCAAGCACCUCAACAAGACCCUGCGCAGCCAGCUGGACCUGUGCAGAUCCAUUAUGGCUCAGAGAGAGGGGGGUGAUGGACGCAGUUUCUCCCCCUCCAACUCACUCACAGUGGAAGAAGAAAUGAAGGAGCAGCUGCAGGAGAUCUUGAGGCUGAGACAGAGUCUGGAGGAGAGCAUCCAGGCAAACGGGAGGCUCCAGGAGCAUCUGAAGAACCAUAAGGCCCAGCAGGUAGCAACUCAGACUGGAGCCCAGCAGGCAGGGACAGAGAUGGGCCAGAACCACCCAGGCGUGCAUGCUGAGUCAGAGAGACUGAAGGCGUCUCUGGUUGAGACAGCCUGUGAGCUCACAAGGCUCCAGAGAGAGAGUGACAUGCUGAGGGAGGAGAGAGAGAGGCUGACAGAGGGGCUCGCACGCUCUGAGGACAACAACAGGAGCCUGGAGGGCUCACUUAGCUCCACACAGGAAGAGAUAGACAGGUUGAAGGGAGAACUCGAUGCCUAUCAAAAACAGCUCACCAACAGCAAUGAGCUCCUCAAGUCAUUUUGUGAGGAGAUGCAGGGGUCCAAGCAGAUGAGGACAGCUGCAGUCAACCCCACUGGUAAUGUAUACAAGAAGGUCCCUCACUUUUUCUCUCCAUCUACAGUUAUUCUUGCUAGAUGUGAUGUUGAUUAUGUUGAGUUGCUACACUUUCAUCCAGCAUCAGAGUUUGGAGGCGGUCUCCCGGACAACCCCAAGCUAAAUCAACUCCUCUCUGAGAUCCAGCGAAUCAGAGCACAGCUUGCCGAUAAGGACACAAUACAGACUAAAGCCACAGAGGAGAAACACCCUGAGCAUUCUGGUUGGCCCGAGUGCCCUCCAACAAACAUCAACAUCAACUAUGUGGAGUGUGGAGCAUCCAGGCAUUCAAGCAGGAGCAGUCCUUCAGGUACAAGUAAGAACUGUGAAAUGUCUCAGUGAUCAUUAUGUAUUGUGAUGGCGUAAAAAGAAA
rnacentral:lncRNA from 1 species